rnacentral:rRNA from 1 species
UGGGGAAUCUUGCACAAUGGGGGAAACCCUGAUGCAGCGACGCCGCGUGAGCGAUGAAACCCUUCGGGGUGUAAAGCUCUUUCGGCAGGGACGAUGAUGACGGUACCUGCAGAAGCAGCUGCGGCUAACUACGUGCCAGCAGCCGCGGUAAUACGUAGGCAGCGAGCGUUGUUCGGAGUUACUGGGCGUAAAGGGUGUGUAGGCGGUCCUCUAAGUUUGGUGUGAAAUCUCUCGGCUCAACCGGGAGGGUGCGCCGAAAACUGGGGGACUCGAGUGCGGGAUGGGAGAGUAGAAUUCCUGGUGUAGCGGUGAAAUGCGUAGAUAUCAGGAGGAAUACCGGUGGUGUAGACGGCUCUCUGGACCGCCACUGACGCUGAGACACGAAAGCGUGGGUAGCAAAC